UACGUAGGUGGCAAGCGUUGUCCGGAUUCACUGGGCGUACAGGGUGUGUAGGCGGUUUGGUAAGCCUUCUGUUAAAGCUUCGGGCCCAACCCGGAAAGCGCAGAGGGUACUGCCAGGCUAGAGGACGGGAGAGGAGCGCGGAAUUCCCGGUGUAGCGGUGAAAUGCGUAGAGAUCGGGAGGAAGGCCGGUGGCGAAGGCGGCGCUCUGGAACGUUACUGACGCUGAGACACGAAAGCGUGGGGAGCAAACAGG
rnacentral:rRNA from 1 species